rnacentral:rRNA from 1 species
CUCGUAGGUGGUUUGUCGCGUUGUUCGUGAAAACUCACAGCUUAACUGUGGGCGUGCGGGCGAUACGGGCAGACUGGAGUACUGCAGGGGAGACUGGAAUUCCUGGUGUAGCGGUGGAAUGCGCAGAUAUCAGGAGGAACGCCGGUGGCGAAGGCGGGUCUCUGGGCAGUAACUGACGCUGAGGAGCGAAAGCGUGGGGAGCGAACA